GACGAACGCUGGCGGCGUGCCUAAUACAUGCAAGUUGAGCGCUGAAGGUUGGUACUUGUACCAACUGGAUGAGCAGCGAACGGGUGAGUAACGCGUGGGGAAUCUGCCUUUGAGCGGGGGACAACAUUUGGAAACGAAUGCUAAUACCGCAUAAAAACUUUAAACACAAGUUUUAAGUUUGAAAGAUGCAAUUGCAUCACUCAAAGAUGAUCCCGCGUUGUAUUAGCUAGUUGGUGAGGUAAAGGCUCACCAAGGCGAUGAUACAUAGCCGACCUGAGAGGGUGAUCGGCCACAUUGGGACUGAGACACGGCCCAAACUCCUACGGGAGGCAACAGUAGGGAAUCUUCGGCAAUGGACGAAAGUCUGACCGAGCAACGCCGCGUGAGUGAAGAAGGUUUUCGGAUCGUAAAACUCUGUUGGUAGAGAAGAACGUUGGUGAGAGUGGAAAGCUCAUCAAGUGACGGUAACUACCCAGAAAGGGACGGCUAACUACGUG
rnacentral:rRNA from 1 species